UACGAGGGGGGCGAGCGUUGUUCGGAAUUAUUGGGCGUAAAGGGUGCGUAGGCGGUUUGAUAAGUCUGAUGUGAAAUCUAUGGGCUCAACCCAUAGCCUGCAUUAGAAACUGUCGGGCUUGAGUAUGGGAGAGGUGAGUGGGAUUUCCGGUGUAGCGGUGAAAUGCGUAGAUAUCGGAAGGAACACCUGUGGCGAAAGCGGCUCACUGGACCAUUACUGACGCUGAGGCACGAAAGCGUGGGGAGCAAACAGG
rnacentral:rRNA from 1 species